rnacentral:tRNA from 1 species
UAGCCAAGUGGAUUAAGGCAGUGGA